CUGCGCCCCCCGUGACGCCUCCUGCGCCCCCCUGACGCCGCCUGCGCGCCCCCUGGGUUUUCGGCGACAGUGAAGGAGAGUCCCGGCUGCAGCCGCGUCCCUAGCCGGCGGGCGGCCGCACCGCUGCCCUUAACUGCGAGUCUCCGGUAAGGCAUUUAGCUAGAAGGGGCUUCAGUUCCCCACUUCAAGCCACCACUUUGAAAUCCCUCGAAAAAUCAACCACAGCAACCACUUAAAAAUGAAAAAAAUAACUCUGAUGAAGUAAAAUUUCCUUCCUUUUGAUUUAUGUCUGUGGAUAGAAGGCCAACGCUGUCAGAACACACACUCUGUGCCGGUCACAUAAGCUGCUGCAGGAGGCUCCUGUGUCGGGGGGUCCCCAUUCUUCACCCUCCACAGAUGCAUCCCCUUCUCCACGUGGAGACUCCUCAGUUUCUUCCAUUGAAGAGACAGCGCUGCUUCUCUGGACCCUUGACUCUGAGUCAGGCCAUGUGACUUGUUCUGGUCAAUGGGAUGCCUGCUGAUGUGACACCUGAGGAGGCUCAGGACAGACUUGUGUUUUUCUGUGCCACUGCUGUGAGCGUGUGCCUGGGCUCUGGCUGAGGGAUGAGGUGUGAGGUGAAUCAUCCCAGAUGGGGCCAUCCUGGACCAUCCAACAGCAGCUUCUCUGGACAGGGUGUUCACAAGAAUGGAAGCAGUGUUUCCUUGCUAGAUUCCUUAUUGCUAUAUCUCAUGAACCUACGUAAUCUUGGGGAAAAGCCUGUAUUUCAUGAUGACAAACCUGUCACCAGUAUAGCAACAACAGUUUUUCCAAGAUGAACCGAUACACAACCAUGAGGCAGCUGGGGGACGGCACCUAUGGGAGUGUGCUUAUGGGCAAGAACAACGAAUCCGGGGAGCUGGUGGCCAUCAAAAGGUAACCGACAUUGGGAUGGAAGAGGAGAAAUAACAAAAUUCAAGAAAGCAAUUUCUAAAGGAUGAAGAGAAAGUUCUAUUCUUGGGAUGAAUGUAUGAACUUAAGAGAAGUUAAGGGCAAUGGUAGUUUGGCUAAGCAUGGGGUUUCCAGGCUGCUGGUUUUUUCUCUGCAUGGUCUACACAAGUUACUCCACUAUCUUCAGUUUCUGGUGUCACAGAUGAGAAAUUCGCUGCCAGUCUGAUACUUCUUCAUGAGUCUUCCACUUGACCAACUAGGCUACCAAUUCAAGUCUCAAGAAUGAUCAUCAUUUCCUUCAUUUACUAAAAUGUUUGAUUGGAAAAUUAUGCAUUUCAUCCCUAGAAAGUCUUCUUGUGCUGCAUUUACGUCUCCUUAUGUGCUUUUUCUAUUUUUUGUCAGGUUGUCAUCUGUCUCUGGCUGCUGCUCGAUGGCAUUAAGGAUGGGUUCUAUCUGUUCUUACGGACUGUCUUCUCCGGCUGUGGUGCCAUCAUCUUUCUUUGUUACAUCAUGGGGGUUCAGGUCUCACUGCUGAGCACCCAUGCGACUGCAGUUCCAUGAGUGGUGGCGAGCACCUUGCUCUCUGCUCCUGUGACCCAGCAGUGCAACAGCAGGCAGGCUGCUAGGGCUCUGCCAGGGCAACAGAAGACUUUCUGCUCCAUAGCCUCAGAGACAGGAAGGACUCAAUCCAACUGCUGAUUUUCUCCUUGGUCUCUUGUGGAACACACACACAAUGGGGUGAUGUCAAUUUUCAGUUUUCCUCCCAGGAGAUCCCCAACCUCUGGAGGUGAAGCUCAUCAGAGUAUCCAAUGCAUUCUGAUCCUCCCAUAGGACUCAUCUGAUGCCAGCCCUCAGUGCCAGCCCAGCCCAGCCCAGGAAGAAAGCUCCCAUCUGCUCCCCACUCUCUAUCCUCAACUUCCACAAAGCUUGGGGCUUCACCUUCACUCAGGAUUCUAGCAGUGGUUUGGGUCAGGAGAGAGGAAGAGAGUAUAGGCCUGAGAGAAGCAGGAGUGCAAGCUACUUUAGCUUGCUAUCUUCCCAGAAUCCUCACCAACUAUAAUUCUGUGGGGUUUUUUGUUUUUGUUUUUUUUACCAAAUAUUUAUCCAGAUGGGAAACAUGGGAAUUUGUGAUAAAAGUUUAAAUUGUGGAAAACAUUGGCAAUACUAAUGUUCAGUGACUAUUACAUAAAGAUGCAUAUCAAACUGAUAUUCAUCUCUAAGUUCAUAACUAUUUUUAAAAUUCACAUAUUAGAAUUCUCCCUUUUGUACGUUCUUUUGUUUUCCCUCCUCUACAGCAAACCAUCUGACCCCAAGAAUCCAUAAACCGGACACCCCAGGGUAUAAGAAUCGUUUUAUUUUUCCCUUGGCUAUCUUUCCUAAGUUCUACCUUUUAAUUCACAGUGUAUUGCUAUAUACCAGUUAUAUCAAAAAGCCAUUAGAUAAGAAUUCUUCAUAGUUUUCUAUUUCAAAAACAUACAUAUAUUUUUUUUUUAGACUUAGACUUUCUUGAGUCUUUCCUAUUUGGAUCUUGAACUGUUUGGGGUCUUCCUCCCUAAUUUUUCAUGAUAUAAUUCUUCUAUUUUAAAUUUUAAAAUUUACUAGCAGACUGUAUUACCUAAAUAUCCUUUGCCCUACCCUCUAUCCUGUGUGGUAAGUUGUUUGCAAAUAUGGCUAUAAUGAUUCUCCACAGUCCUGUACAAACAGCGUUUGCAUUGUGACUUUCUUUUCAUCCCAUCAACAGGUGGAGGAAUCUGUUUCCCCACCCUUUAAAUCCUGGCCUUGUGACUUGCUUUGACCAACAGAAAGAAGUUGCUUCAACUUCAUGCCCUCAAGGUGCCUUGCAACUUCUGCUCUCCUGCUCUCGCUCUCUUGGACCCCUGAGAUCACCGUGUGAAGCAGCCCAGGCUGGUCUCCCUGAAGAUGAAAAACCAGAAAGAGAGAGAGAAGCCCAGAGAAAAUCCAGCAGCAACACCCAUCAAGUGAAUGAGUCCAUCAUAGACCAUCCAGAUUCAACUGAACCACGUAGGACAGCACCCAUUUGAAUGAGUGACUCCGAGACGGACCAGCAGAAGAGUCAGUUGCACUGAGCCCCGAAAAUGCUGAUCCAGACUUACAAGCAAAUAAAAUGGCUGUUGUUUAAAGCUACUAAGCUUUGAAACAAUAGAUAACCAAAA